rnacentral:lncRNA from 1 species
AUGUCUACUACUCGUUUCAAGUGUUGCACGCAGUGUGCUGCUAAAAUUCCUGACUCGGACGGCCACGCCAAGUGCCUCUUCUGUCUUGGCGAGGCUCAUGUGGUCAGUACCUGCCGUUUCUGCCUAGCUCUCACAGCUCAGGCCAGAAAGAACAGAGCCGCUAGGCUUAGAGCGGCGCUUUACGAAAGAUCUCUCGCGCCAGAACCGACUCCGUCGACGUCGGGUACGUCGUCGUCUUCAGCUCUGAGAGCUAUGUCGGCGCCACCAGCUAAGCCUCCGACAGCUAAAGCCUCCUCGGUCUCGUCCAGAGCGUCCAGGACCUCCAGGGCCGCUAAACCGGUCAAGCCACCGUGUACUGUGACGACGGCUACCGUUUCCACCCGUUCCGGCAAGGUGGGGCCUUCCUCGACGUCGAGCUCUCUGGCUUCGGUGACCUCGGUCCGCUCCCGUAUUGGUUCCCCGCCGUCCUCCUCUGCCAUUAAGAUAGCCUUUAAGAGGGCUCACGAGGAGUCUCGUCGAGCGCAAUCUGACUCAGCUGUGGUUCCUCCCACACCUGGCAAGUCCUUGAGGGUUGCAUCUAAGCAACCGCCGACAAAAAAACGGCUAACUCAGCGCUCCUCUUCCUCGGCCUCCUCAAGGCGAGACCCGCCGUCCUCCUCGGCAACCUCCUCGAGAAGGUCUUCUCCAAUUGUGCCAGCCCAGAGGCCUAGAGAUGUAUCUCAAUCUCCAUUGCACCCCCUGUCUGACGGGGAGCUGCAGGACUCACCCCACCACUCUACCCAAACGGUGGUCAGGGUGCCGGUGCCGGAGCCCCUUGCGCCGCCUCACUCGUCGCGCCAACAGCUCUUCCCUCCCACCUCGACACCGGAGCGUGGCAGACAAACGGCUCGCCUGGCUCGAGCAGCCCAGGCCUCAGCGUCUAAGGAUCCUCGGCUCCCGGCCCUCUCUUCCCGCGAGGCCAUGCCUCCUCCCGAGACUGUGCUUUCUUCUCCCCCUCAGUCCCCCCAAGGCGCUGAGGAGGAAGAUGUUGAUAUUGACCGCCCAGACUCUGUCCUCUCGGCCUCGGUGGUCUCUCUCGGUCUCGACCUCUCUCCUCCCCACGAUGCGUAUGAGGCAGACCCGCCUUCUCCUACUGACAAUAUUCGUGCUUUCUCUGAUCAAAUGGUCAGAAUGGCCGACGCCCUGGGUUUGGAGAUCAAGCAGACUUCCAAAGCAGUGUCUGAUCCAGUUUUCAAAAGGGUGCAGGCCCAAGCUCCGCCGGCCACGCUACUCCCUUUCCUGCCUUAUCUCUUGGACGUUAUCCAGGCCUCCUGGAAAACCCCUUCCUCCAUUCCUCCGACCUCGAAGAGGAUCGAGACUUGGUACCGUACCGACGAUGAUACCUUGGAGUGGCUCAAACACCACCCCGACCCCAACUCCCUGGUCGUUAAGGCCUCUCAAUCCUCAGGUCGUCAGUCGAAUACUCCGGCCGACAGAGAAGGGAAGCGCUUCGACGCCGUGGGUCGAAAACUUUACUCUGGAGCCCUUUUGCUUUGCCGCAUGGCGAACUAUGGAGCCUGCAUGGGUGCCUACCAGCAGAUUAUCUGGGAGAAGGCACAGCCCUUCUUCGCUAAGAUGUCGGACGAAGACCGCUCCGUCCUCACUACCCUCCAACAGGAAGCAGACUCGCUUGCUCACCACCAAAUACAAAUGGCGAAACAUACAGGUGAUACUGCGGGCAAGAUGAUUGCCCACGCGAUAUCCAUCCGCCGUCACGCCUGGCUGAGGUCUUCGGGUCUCUCCUCAUCUUCCAGACAGGUCAUUGAGGACCUUCCCUUUGAUGCGCUCGGACUAUUUAACUCCGGUACCGAUGACAAACUCAAGUCUAAUCAUGACUUUAAAAUUCUUGCGUCUAAAUGUGGCGACCAACCGCAACCUCAGCGCACCCGCUGGUUCCCGCACCGCGCCCGCCGCUUCCCGCCGCAAUCUUUCAGACACCACUCUUUCAGGCAGCCCUCGGGCUCGAAUAAUCAAACCCAUCACCAACCUCGUCGGGGACCUCAUCCGCAAAAGCAACGCGGUCGAACCACCCCCGCUCCUCCGCAGGCUAACCGGCGUACCUGA